rnacentral:rRNA from 1 species
GAUGGUUCAUUCAAAUUUCUGCCCUAUCAACUUUCGACGGCUGGGUCUUGGCCAGCCAUGGUGACAACGGGUAACGGAGGGUUAGGGCUCGACCCCGGAGAAGGAGCCUGAGAGACGGCUACUACAUCCAAGGAAGGCAGCAGGCGCGCAAAUUACCCAAUCCCGACACGGGGAGGUAGUGACGAUAAAUACUGAUACAGGGCUCUUUUGGGUCUUGUAAUUGGAAUGAGUACAAUUUAAAUCCCUUAACGAGGAACAAUUGGAGGGCAAGUCUGGUGCCAGCAGCCGCGGUAAUUCCAGCUCCAAUAGCGUAUAUUAAAGUUGUUGCAGUUAAAAAGCUCGUAGUUGAACCUUGGGCCUGGCUGGCCGGUCCGCCUCACCGCGUGCACUGGUCCGGCCGGGCCUUUCCCUCUGGGGAGCCGCAUGCCCUUCACUGGGCGUGUCGGGGAACCAGGACUUUUACUUUGAAAAAAUUAGAGUGUUCAAAGCAGGCCUAUGCUCGAAUACAUUAGCAUGGAAUAAUAAAAUAGGACGUGCGGUUCUAUUUUGUUGGUUUCUAGGACCGCCGUAAUGAUUAAUAGGGACAGUCGGGGGCAUCAGUAUUCAAUUGUCAGAGGUGAAAUUCUUGGAUUUAUUGAAGACUAACUACUGCGAAAGCAUUUGCCAAGGAUGUUUUCAUUAAUCAGGAACGAAAGUUAGGGGAUCGAAGACGAUCAGAUACCGUCGUAGUCUUAACCAUAAACUAUGCCGACUAGGGAUCGGACGAUGUUAUUUUUUGACUCGUUCGGCACCUUACACGAAAGUACAAGU